UCGCUGGGUCUACGGGCAGCUCCAGCUCUGGGUUCAUAGCCUGCGCGGGGUUCGCAGGAAGAAUAGAAGAUGCUUGAGGGGAUGGGACACCUGAGUUGGCUUUGAAGCUCACCUGCCUUUCCUGUUGGAAGAGAUCUUCCUCUCCCAGCGGGCAGGUGAGUAGAGGCCACAGGUAUUUGAAAAGAAAAUGCUGUUCAUUAGGAUGCUGAGGCGACUGGGGCAGAGCCCAGCCUGUGGCUGUUGGACACCUGUCCUGCCGGUCCGCUUUCUGGGCAUCUCCCCUCGGCAAAUUCCAGCAGAUGCUAACUUCCACUCUGCGUCUUUCUCUGACACAGACCAUCCACGAGUCUUAAUUACAGGGGGUCUUGGCCAGCUGGGAGUGGGGCUUGCUAAUCUUUUGAGGAAACGAUUUGGAAAGGACAAUGUGAUUUUGUCUGACAUAAGGAAACCCCCCGAUCAUGUCUUUCACAGUGGCCUGCAUAACAUCCUGGACGUCGCUGCGGAACACAAUCUGCGAUUGUUUGUGCCUAGCACGAUCGGGGCUUUUGGACCCACCUCUCCCCGGAACCCAACCCCCGAUCUCUGUAUUCAGAGACCCAGGACCAUCUACGGGGUGUCCAAGGUCCACGCGGAGCUCAUGGGAGAAACUAUGCAGUCCAGAUUUUCCAUGAUGCCACAAAGCAUGGCAAAUUCGAGUGCAACCUGGAAGCCCGCACGAGGCUGCCCAUGAUGUACAUUGAUGACUGCCUCAGGGCCACCCUGGAGGUCAUGGAGGCCCCAGCCGAGUCCCUUUCCAUGAGGACCUACAAUGUCAGCGCCAUGAGCUUCACACCUGAGGAGCUGGCCCAGGAGGUCCUCAAGCACGUGCCGGAAUUCCAGAUCACAUACAACGUGGAUGCCGUUCGGCAGGCCAUAGCGGAUAGUUGGCCGAUGAACUUUGAUGACAGCAAUGCUCGGAAGGACUGGGGGUGGAAACAUGAUUUUGAUCUUCCAGAGUUGGUGACUGCCAUGUUGAACUUCCAUGGUUCUGAAACCAGAGUUGCCCAAGCCAACUGAAAGAAUAUGGAAGAGGAGCUCCUGUGUCCUGGUCCACUGUCAAAGGAGAACUGUCACAACUCCAAGGUUAUAGACUCCAAGGAGCCUACAUUAUUUGGAACUGACUAAUUGGACUAAAUUUUGGCAGCUCAUAUUGAACUGCUAGACAAAGAAUGGAGUUAACAUUUAAGCAUUUUCAGAAUGUUGUAGGUAUGGUGGUGGGACUUUUCAGUUUUUGCUGUUUGCCUGAACUUGUCUAAAUACAUUCCACAGAAUAAGGCUUAAGUCAUCAUUACUUUCCAUUUCCUUAAUUAGGAUGAAGUGACCGUUUCUGGGAAGGUGGGAGUAUGUGACAUUUGUAUUUAAUUAAAUUCAAUUUAAAUAUUC
rnacentral:sRNA from 1 species